rnacentral:rRNA from 1 species
GGAGACGCUGGCGGCGUGCCUAUACAUGCAAGUCGAGCGGAUCGAUGGGAGCUUGCUCCCUGAGAUCAGCGGCGGACGGGUGAGUAACACGUGGGUAACCUGCCUGUAAGACUGGGAUAACUCCGGGAAACCGGGGCUAAUACCGGAUAACACCUACCCCCGCAUGGGGGAAGGUUGAAAGGUGGCUUCGGCUAUCACUUACAGAUGGACCCGCGGCGCAUUAGCUAGUUGGUGAGGUAAUGGCUCACCAAGGCGACGAUGCGUAGCCGACCUGAGAGGGUGAUCGGCCACACUGAGGACUGAGACACGGCCCAGACUCCUACGGGAGGCAGCAGUAGGGAAUCUUCCGCAAUGGACGAAAGUCUGACGGAGCAACGCCGCGUGAGUGAAGAAGGUUUUCGGAUCGUAAAACUCUGUUGUUAGGGAAGAACAAGUGCCGUUCGAAUAGGGCGGCGCCUUGACGGUACCUAACCAGAAAGCCACGGCUAACUACGUGCCAGCAGCCGCGGUAAUACGUAGGUGGCAAGCGUUGUCCGGAAUUAUUGGGCGUAAAGCGCGCGCAGGUGGUUUCUUAAGUCUGAUGUGAAAGCCCACGGCUCAACCGUGGAGGGUCAUAGA